AUGGGCUCUCGCCGUCCUCCUCCUACCACCCUAGUCUUGGUGUUGCUGCUAUGCCUCUACUAUGCGCCGCGCCGGGCCUUCUCACUCUUCUUCAACCUCAACUUCUCCGACCCAAGAGCCGGUUCAUUCAUCGCCGUCAACGGCGAUGCACUCGUCAGCACGUCGUGGCUGGAGCUGACAAAGAACACGCGUGAUGCAAACAUUCAGAGCAGCGUCGGCCGGGCAUGGUACGACCACAAAGUGCCGCUGUGGAGCAACGCCACCGGCGAGAUGGCUAGCUUCACCACCACCUUCUCCUUCCGAAUCACCCCAGACAAGGACAGCAUGCCGCUGACAGGCGACGGGAUGGCCUUCUUCCUCGGGAGUUUCCCUUCGGUGCUCCCGCCCCGGAGCGCCGGCGGCGGCCUCGGCCUCCUCCCAACCCACACUAACGGGACAGGAGACGGCCGAAUCGUGGCCGUCGAGUUCGACACUUUCCUCAACCGGGAAUAUGCCGAUAUCAACGGCAACCAUGUCGGCAUCGACGUCAACUCCGUCAACUCCACCGCAUCAACGGACACCACGACCUGGCCGGGAAAAAGCCUCACGUCCCUCCAUGUUAUGGAAGCCACUGUCAAGUACCACAAAGAUUCCAAGAUGCUGGCCGUUGAUCUCCUCAUCGAAGAUGCCUUGUACCAGGUCAAUGCAACCGUCGAUCUGAGUAGAUACUUACCGGAGGAGGUCGCCGUCGGCUUCUCCGCGGCGACUGGCGACAUCGCCGAGCUGCACCAGAUACUGUCAUGGUCAUUUAGCUCUACUCUGCAACUUGAAUCAAAGAAGGAAGCACGUCCACCUGCCGAACCUCCUCUUCCAAUUCCAACCAGCAACAGCAACAUCCACAAAAAGUUGGUACCAAUCCUAGCAUCUGUCCUAGUUCCUCUGCUUUUUUUGUUGGUCUGUGCGACCGCAGUGCUGGGAUGGCGUCGACACAAGAAAAGAAGAGCAAACGAGGACAGCGAAGAAGAGUGUGACGACAGAGCUGACCUCGAGAGAGGUGUGGCUGCCGGAGGCCCCAGACGGUACAUGUACCACGAGCUGGUCGCGGCAACGAGUAACUUCGCCAAGGAGGAGAAGCUCGGGCGAGGCGGCUUCGGGAGCGUUUACCGGGGUCACCUCACGCUCACACCCGCAGCUGCUGUCGGUAGUGACCAAGACCGCCGUGAGGUGGCGGUAAAGGUGCUGUCAGUGGAGUCAUCGGCGCAAGGGAGGAAGGAGUUCGAGGCAGAGGUGAGGAUCAUCAGCAGACUGAAGCAUCGCAACCUUGUGCAGCUGCUGGGUUGGUGUGACAGCCGCAAGGGGCUCCUCCUUGUCUACGAGCUCGUCGCGGAGAGCAGCCUCGACAGGCACCUCUACAACAAGGACGGCACGUAUCUAACAUGGCCACAGAGGUACAACAUCAUCCUCGGCUUGGGGUCGGCGCUGCGCUACCUCCACGGAGAGUGGGAGGAGUGCAUCGUCCACGGCGACAUCAAACCCAGCAACAUCAUGCUCGACUUGUCGCUGAGCACCAAGCUCGGGGACUUCGGGUUGGCCCGGCUCAUCGCCCACGGCGCCGGGUCAAUGCAGACCACCAAGGCCGUGCUCGGCACCGUCGGGUACAUCGACCCGGAGUUCGUCAACACGCGCCGCCCUAGCACCAAGUCGGAUGUCUACAGUUUCGGCGUCGUCCUCCUAGAGAUCACCUCUGGCCGACGGCCGGUGAUGGAGACCACGGAGAGGUCCUUCACUCUGCUCAGCUGGGUGUGGGGCCUGUAUGGGAGGAAUGCGAUCCUUGACGCGGCGGACGAGCGGUUGAGGGGUGACGAGGCGGACGCUCGGUGGAUGGAACGGGUGCUCGUCAGCAUCGGCAACAUCACCCAUUUCUCUGAGUCGUCCUCGACUGCGUUGCUA
rnacentral:rRNA from 1 species